rnacentral:rRNA from 1 species
UACGUAGGGGGCAAGCGUUGUCCGGAAUCAUUGGGCGUAAAGCGCGUGUAGGCGGCCCGGUAAGUCCGCUGUGAAAGUCCAGGGCUCAACCCUGGAAUGCCGGUGGAUACUGUCGGGCUCGAGUCCGGAAGAGGCGAGUGGAAUUCCUGGUGUAGCGGUGAAAUGCGCAGAUAUCAGGAGGAACACCAAUGGCGAAGGCAGCUCGCUGGGACGGUACUGACGCUGAGACGCGAAAGCGUGGGGAGCAAACGGG